rnacentral:lncRNA from 1 species
GGUACUUGAGUAGUUGGAGUACUCGUACCUUGAGGAGUUGGAGUUGUAAUUUGAUUUGAAGUUGGAGUUGGAGUACUCGAACCUUGAGGAGUUGGAGUUGGAAUUUGAGGAGUUGAAGUACUUGGAGUCGAAGUUGCAGUCGGAACAUGAGUACUUGCAGAAGGUUCUUCAUGGUCGACAAAACUUCGUGUAAAUCGUUGUUUUUUAGUAACCAAUGCUUUUUUGGAUGCCAUUUA